GCUGGGAUAGCUCAGUUGGUAGAGCAGCGGUUUUGUAAACCGUCGGUCGCGAGUUCGAGUCUCGCUCCCAGCUCCA
rnacentral:tRNA from 1 species